rnacentral:rRNA from 1 species
UGCCUACGGGGGGCAGCAGUGAGGAAUAUUGGUCAAUGGGCGGGAGCCUGAACCAGCCAAGUCGCGUGAAGGAAGAAGGUACUUAGUAUUGUAAACUUCUUUUGUCGGGGAACAAAGGCGGAGACGCGUCUCCGGAUGAGUGUACCCGAAGAAAAAGCAUCGGCUAACUCCGUGCCAGCAGCCGCGGUAAUACGGAGGAUGCGAGCGUUAUCCGGAUUUAUUGGGUUUAAAGGGUGCGCAGGCGGGAGAUCAAGUCAGCGGUCAAAUGUCGGGGCUCAACCUCGCUCCGCCGUUGAAACUGGCGG